AUUGAACGCUGGCGGCAUGCCUUACACAUGCAAGUCGAACGGCAGCACGGGUGCUUGCACCUGGUGGCGAGUGGCGAACGGGUGAGUAAUACAUCGGAACAUGUCCUGUAGUGGGGGAUAGCCCGGCGAAAGCCGGAUUAAUACCGCAUACGAUCUACGGAUGAAAGCGGGGGACCUUCGGGCCUCGCGCUAUAGGGUUGGCCGAUGGCUGAUUAGCUAGUUGGUGGGGUAAAGGCCUACCAAGGCGACGAUCAGUAGCUGGUCUGAGAGGACGACCAGCCACACUGGGACUGAGACACGGCCCAGACUCCUGCGGGAGGCAGCAGUGGGGAAUUUUGGACAAUGGGCGAAAGCCUGAUCCAGCAAUGCCGCGUGUGUGAAGAAGGCCUUCGGGUUGUAAAGCACUUUUGUCCGGAAAGAAAUCCUUGGCUCUAAUACAGUCGGGGGAUGACGGUACCGGAAGAAUAAGCACCGGCUAACUACGUGCCAGCAGCCGCGGUAAUACGUAGGGUGCGAGCGUUAAUCGGAAUUACUGGGCGUAAAGCGUGCGCAGGCGGUUUGCUAAGACCGAUGUGAAAUCCCCGGGCUCAACCUGGGAACUGCAUUGGUGACUGGCAGGCUAGAGUAUGGCAGAGGGGGGUAGAAUUCCACGUGUAGCAGUGAAAUGCGUAGAGAUGUGGAGGAAUACCGAUGGCGAAGGCAGCCCCCUGGGCCAAUACUGACGCUCAUGCACGAAAGCGUGGGGAGCAAACAGGAUUAGAUACCCUGGUAGUCCACGCCCUAAACGAUGUCAACUAGUUGUUGGGGAUUCAUUUCCUUAGUAACGUAGCUAACGCGUGAAGUUGACCGCCUGGGGAGUACGGUCGCAAGAUUAAAACUCAAAGGAAUUGACGGGGACCCGCGCAAGCGGUGGAUGAUGUGGAUUAAUUCGAUGCAACGCGAAAAACCUUACCUACCCUUGACAUGGUCGGAAUCCCGCUGAGAGGUGGGAGUGCUCGAAAGAGAACCGGCGCACAGGUGCUGCAUGGCUGUCGUCAGCUCGUGUCGUGAGAUGUUGGGUUAAGUCCCGCAACGAGCGCAACCCUUGUCCUUAGUUGCUACGCAAGAGCACUCUAAGGAGACUGCCGGUGACAAACCGGAGGAAGGUGGGGAUGACGUCAAGUCCUCAUGGCCCUUAUGGGUAGGGCUUCACACGUCAUACAAUGGUCGGAACAGAGGGUUGCCAACCCGCGAGGGGGAGCUAAUCCCAGAAAACCGAUCGUAGUCCGGAUUGCACUCUGCAACUCGAGUGCAUGAAGCUGGAAUCGCUAGUAAUCGCGGAUCAGCAUGCCGCGGUGAAUACGUUCCCGGGUCU
rnacentral:rRNA from 1 species